GCCAGGGUAGCUGGAAAGGGCUGAGCAUUCUUUUCUAAGCCUCCAUGUAAGAAGAGCUUUUUGCCUCCCGCCAUGAUUCUGAGGCCUCCCCAGCCAUGCGGAACUGAGCAUUAUCUUGCUUUAUAGGGCAAGUCCAGGAAGCAGUGUGUGACAAAGAAUGAGUACCCAGUGCUGGAGGGCAUGGAGCAAUCCAUCGGCAGCUCCCGGUGGUGAUGAGAUGGGUGUGUGUGGCCCAUAAAUCAACUGGACGCACUUCCCUUUGUUUGCACACUGCCACCGACACAGGCUUGCUAUGAAGAAGAAGAAAUUUUGCUCAGAGGAAACUAGAAAACCUGAACGUGUACACAAUGCUGACAUAUUUUGUUGCUUUCACCCCUCUUAAGAAUUUCUACCAUUCCUUUGAGAAGUUGAUUAUUUUUAAAACUGUGUAUCAUUUUGUCUUCUUGGGCAAAUUGCACAGUCAAUGAUAUGUUUCACCGAGUAUGUAAAUCCCUUUUACAUAUUUCAAAAUAAUAUCUAAUUAAAAUGUCAAGGUUAUAGCUCAUGAGGCUAGAGUGGACAGGGCUCCACCCCCUCCCUCAGCCUCUCAAAGUAACAUUUAAAGUAUGUCCUAUAAUUAGGAGCAAUUAUAAAUUCCAAUUAAAAAGAAACCUGCAUAACUCUGACAGUAUUUUUCUUUGAUGUUACUGGCUUUAAUUUAUGUGCUUGUUCCACCAAAUUGUCUUCACUUCCUCAGAUAUGUUCUCAGACAGAAAAGGCUUCCAAAACUGCAAAGAGAAAAACAGGUCAAAUCUGAGAAAAGUAGUGAAGUUCAUUAAAAAGGGUUAUUGCAUCUAUAACUUCUGGACUUGGUGCUCAUUGAUUAGAGAUUAAACAUCAUCCUUUGUACUACUCAGAUUGGGAUUUUUAAUUAGGAUGUCAUUAUUACACAGAUAUACUGAAUGCCAUAUUGAUUUUUGAGACCUUUUGAAAUAAUAGCACUGCUUAUGCAAAAUGAAAAUCAUAAUAGAUUAUUGACUUCUUCAGGAGUUUUGAUCCAAGGGUACCUCCC
rnacentral:lncRNA from 10 species